GCAAUUGUGGUUAAGUGGGUUAGAAUUAUGUUUUGAAGCGGAAGAGUCGAGGGUUCGACCCCUUUAGGUGUA
rnacentral:tRNA from 1 species